rnacentral:lncRNA from 1 species
UACUUGGCGAAUACAUUGGGGACCCAAAAAGCUAAUAAGCCAUCUUCUCCAUGACAAAUAAAUUACUGUAUUAUAUAGUGAGAAGACAAUAAUUACAAUUUUUUUUUACAUUAAAUUCCUAUAAUUAACACACAGCCAAGUUGUUGCGACAGUAAAUUCAAAUAAUUCCAAGUCUCUUUCUUUCUUUUGGCCAACAACCCAAAAGAAAGGGAAUGGUUAUUCCUACAACGUUCCGUCCCUAACUACUCUAAUAUCAAUUCCAUUCCCUUUUUAAAUCAUUCCAGUGACCAAACACUACCUAAGGACGAUGAAAGAGAUACUACCCUGAAAGAUAUAUUGGUUUGGGAGAAGAUACUGCAAAAUUAGAGGCUGGUUAAAUUUUUGUUAUCCAUACACUUAUUGUAAUGUUGUUUAUACGUGGGAGAUUAUUGAUAUGUUUGUAAAUGUAGGAACCUUGUUGUUUUGUGUCUAACAACGUAGGGAUGAUGGGAAGUUAUGAUGAA